rnacentral:lncRNA from 1 species
UUUAUGUAUAUGAAUGUUUUGCUUCAUAUAUAUGUGUAUCACAUGCAUGCCGUAUCCAUGGAGGAUAGAAAAAGGGUAUUAGAACCCCAAGAACUGGAGUUACAGAUGGUGGUGAGCCACCAUGAAGAUGCUGGGACACAAACCAGGGUCCUCUGCAAGAGGAGUAAAUGUGUUUAGCCUCUGAGGCAUCUAUUUCAAUUUUUAUCAGCACUGCUCCAAACCUAAAACCAAGUGAGUACUGAGCAAAACACAGGGCUGUCCAGCCAGCAGCCUCCAUUAGACAACCUGAUCCAGCCAGCAGGUUCCAUUAGACUGCCUGAUUUCUUUCUUUUUUGGGGGGGAAAGGGGUGUUUUGAGACAGGGCUACACAGAGAGACCCUGUCUCGAAAAAAACAAACC